UACAGGGGGUGCAAACGUUGUUCGGAAUCAUUGGGCGUAAAGCGCACGUAGGCGGUCUGUUAUGUCGGAUGUGAAAGCCCUCGGCUCAACUGAGGAAGUGCAUCCGAAACUGGCAGGCUAGAGUACUAAAGAGGGUCGCGGAAUUCCCGGUGUAGAGGUGAAAUUCGUAGAUAUCGGGAGGAACACCGGUGGCGAAGGCGGCGACCUGGGUAGAUACUGACGCUGAGGUGCGAAAGCGUGGGGAGCAAACAGG
rnacentral:rRNA from 1 species